rnacentral:rRNA from 1 species
AUUGAACGCUGGCGGCAGGCCUAACACAUGCAAGUCGAGCGGAUGAGUGGAGCUUGCUCCAUGAUUCAGCGGCGGACGGGUGAGUAAUGCCUAGGAAUCUGCCUGGUAGUGGGGGACAACGUUUCGAAAGGAACGCUAAUACCGCAUACGUCCUACGGGAGAAAGUGGGGGAUCUUCGGACCUCACGCUAUCAGAUGAGCCUAGGUCGGAUUAGCUAGUUGGUGAGGUAAAGGCUCACCAAGGCGACGAUCCGUAACUGGUCUGAGAGGAUGAGCAGUCAGAAUGGAACUGAGACACGGGCCAGACUCCUACGGGAGGCAGCAGUGGGGAAUAUUGGACAAUGGGGGAAAGCCUGAUCCAGCCAUGCCGCGUGUGUGAAGAAGGUCUUCGGAUUGUAAAGCACUUUAAGUUGGGAGGAAGGGCAGUAAGUUAAUACCUUGCUGUUUUGACGUUACCAACAGAAUAAGCACCGGCUAACUUCGUGCCAGCCGCCGCGGUAAGAC